CUGGCCAAGCCCAUGCCAACAUUCUGGUCGCUUGUCCUCUAUCUGAGGAGUACCUCUUACAUGACUCAGCCACGGGAAGGAGGAGCUACCCUCAGGCUACCAACAGGAACUUAAAGUACCCUGAUGUUUGGGCAGAAGGACCAUGCGGCUUACCAGCACACCAGCCACCCAUCAUGAUUCAGCUAUCAAAGUUUGCUGUACCAGGAGGAGUUAAACAAUACUCCAUCGGCCAGGAGUCCAAGCAAGGAACUUACUGCCAAACAUCUAGACCAAUUGAGGGAGGCAGGAAUUCUCAUUCCCCGCCCCUCCCCAUGGAACACUCCCUGGCCGCCUGUAUGGAAACCCACAGGAGACUUAGUUUGGAUAGUGAGAAUCCCUGUCCGGACCCUGGAACCUGUCUGGAAGGGACCCUGCCCAGUCAUCCUCACCACCCCAAAUGUCAGAGCAGGCUGCCAUCAUUCUUCAGAUUCAUCACACCCAACUAAAGGAGCCCACGGAAGAUGACAGUGACUGAUGCACUGCUACCCAGAACCUCUGAUCCCCUAAAGGAUUCCCUAAAGAUGCCUUCAACCCCAGACAGCAGGAAG